AAUAACCAAAUAUCACACUUGGGCUAAGGGUCAAGUUGGUAAUUUUUUUGACAUCUCCCCCCCACCUUGGGUGCCCAGGUUUCAUAUAUGCCUCCAAAAUACAGAGCCUUGAGUACUAGAAGAAAAGCACCUAUACCUAAUAAAAUUAAGUGAACAUACAAAAUUGUAGUCAUUUUAUUUCUAUCUUUCCA
rnacentral:antisense_RNA from 1 species